UGAAAAAGAACCUGAAACCGUGUACGUACAAGCAGUGGGAGCACAGAGCAAUCUGUGUGACUGCGUACCUUUUGUAUAAUGGGUCAGCGACUUAUAUUCUGUAGCAAGGUUAACCGAAUAGGGGAGCCGAAGGGAAACCGAGUCUUAACUGGGCGUUAAGUUGCAGGGUAUAGACCCGAAACCCGGUGAUCUAGCCAUGGGCAGGUUGAAGGUUGGGUAACACUAACUGGAGGACCGAACCGACUAAUGUUGAAAAAUUAGCGGAUGACUUGUGGCUGGGGGUGAAAGGCCAAUCAAACCGGGAGAUAGCUGGUUCUCCCCGAAAGCUAUUUAGGUAGCGCCUCGUGAAUUCAUCUCCGGGGGUAGAGCACUGUUUCGGCAAGGGGGUCAUCCCGACUUACCAACCCGAUGCAAACUGCGAAUACCGGAGAAUGUUAUCACGGGAGACACACGGCGGGUGCUAACGUCCGUCGUGAAGAGGGAAACAACCCAGACCGCCAGCUAAGGUCCCAAAGUCAUGGUUAAGUGGGAAACGAUGUGGGAAGGCCCAGACAGCCAGGAUGUUGGCUUAGAAGCAGCCAUCAUUUAAAGAAAGCGUAAUAGCUCACUGGUCGAGUCGGCCUGCGCGGAAGAUGUAACGGGGCUAAACCAUGCACCGAAGCUGCGGCAGCGACACUGUGUGUUGUUGGGUAGGGGAGCGUUCUGUAAGCCUGUGAAGGUGUGCUGUGAGGCAUGCUGGAGGUAUCAGAAGUGCGAAUGCUGACAUAAGUAACGAUAAAGCGGGUGAAAAGCCCGCUCGCCGGAAGACCAAGGGUUCCUGUCCAACGUUAAUCGGGGCAGGGUGAGUCGACCCCUAAGGCGAGGCCGAAAGGCGUAGUCGAUGGGAAACAGGUUAAUAUUCCUGUACUUGGUGUUACUGCGAAGGGGGGACGGAGAAGGCUAUGUUGGCCGGGCGACGGUUGUCCCGGUUUAAGCGUGUAGGCUGGUUUUCCAGGCAAAUCCGGAAAAUCAAGGCUGAGGCGUGAUGACGAGGCACUACGGUGCUGAAGCAACAAAUGCCCUGCUUCCAGGAAAAGCCUCUAAGCAUCAGGUAACAUCAAAUCGUACCCCAAACCGACACAGGUGGUCAGGUAGAGAAUACCAAGGCGCUUGAGAGAACUCGGGUGAAGGAACUAGGCAAAAUGGUGCCGUAACUUCGGGAGAAGGCACGCUGAUAUGUAGGUGAAGUCCCUCGCGGAUGGAGCUGAAAUCAGUCGAAGAUACCAGCUGGCUGCAACUGUUUAUUAAAAACACAGCACUGUGCAAACACGAAAGUGGACGUAUACGGUGUGACGCCUGCCCGGUGCCGGAAGGUUAAUUGAUGGGGUCAGCGCAAGCGAAGCUCUUGAUCGAAGCCCCGGUAAACGGCGGCCGUAACUAUAACGGUCCUAAGGUAGCGAAAUUCCUUGUCGGGUAAGUUCCGACCUGCACGAAUGGCGUAAUGAUGGCCAGGCUGUCUCCACCCGAGACUCAGUGAAAUUGAACUCGCUGUGAAGAUGCAGUGUACCCGCGGCAAGACGGAAAGACCCCGUGAACCUUUACUAUAGCUUGACACUGAACAUUGAGCCUUGAUGUGUAGGAUAGGUGGGAGGCUUUGAAGUGUGGACGCCAGUCUGCAUGGAGCCGACCUUGAAAUACCACCCUUUAAUGUUUGAUGUUCUAACGUGGACCCGUGAUCCGGGUUGCGGACAGUGUCUGGUGGGUAGUUUGACUGGGGCGGUCUCCUCCUAAAGAGUAACGGAGGAGCACGAAGGUUGGCUAAUCCUGGUCGGACAUCAGGAGGUUAGUGCAAUGGCAUAAGCCAGCUUGACUGCGAGCGUGACGGCGCGAGCAGGUGCGAAAGCAGGUCAUAGUGAUCCGGUGGUUCUGAAUGGAAGGGCCAUCGCUCAACGGAUAAAAGGUACUCCGGGGAUAACAGGCUGAUACCGCCCAAGAGUUCAUAUCGACGGCGGUGUUUGGCACCUCGAUGUCGGCUCAUCACAUCCUGGGGCUGAAGUAGGUCCCAAGGGUAUGGCUGUUCGCCAUUUAAAGUGGUACGCGAGCUGGGUUUAGAACGUCGUGAGACAGUUCGGUCCCUAUCUGCCGUGGGCGCUGGAGAACUGAGGGGGGCUGCUCCUAGUACGAGAGGACCGGAGUGGACGCAUCACUGGUGUUCGGGUUGUCAUGCCAAUGGCACUGCCCGGUAGCUAAAUGCGGAAGAGAUAAGUGCUGAAAGCAUCUAAGCACGAAACUUGCCCCGAGAUGAGUUCUCCCUGACCCUUUAAGGGUCCUGAAGGAACGUUGAAGACGACGACGUUGAUAGGCCGGGUGUGUAAGCGCAGCGAUGCGUUGAGCUAACCGGUACUAAUGAACCGUGAGGCUUAACCUUACAACGCCGAAGGUGUUU
rnacentral:rRNA from 1 species